UGGGGAAUUUUGUGCAAUGGGCGAAAGCCUGACACAGCGACACCGCGUGGAUGAAGAAGCCCUUUGGGGUGUAAAAUCCUGUCGGCUGGAACGAAACAAAUGACGGUACCAGCAGAGGAAGCAUCGGCUAACUACGUGCCAGCAGCCGCGGUAAGACGUAGGAUGCAAGCGUUGUCCGGAUUUAUUGGGCGUAAAGAGUUCGUAGGCGGUUUGUUAAGUCUGAUGUUAAAGAUCGGGGCCCAACCCUGGGAGUGCAUUGGAUACUGGCAGACUGGAGUGUGGUAGAGGUUAGUGGAAUUCCCAGUGUAGCGGUGAAAUGCGUAGAUAUUGGGAAGAACACCAGUGGCGUAGGCGACUAACUGGGCCAUAACUGACGCUGAGGAACGAAAGCCAGGGGAGCGAAUGGG
rnacentral:rRNA from 1 species